rnacentral:snoRNA from 12 species
GAUUCAUGAUGACAUUGGACCUUGUAUGACUAAAAUGACAUCAAAAUUUGAGCUUAGAAUUAUACUCUGAAAUC